GAUGAACGCUAGCGGCAGGCCUAAUACAUGCAAGUCGGACGGGAGCCGUCGGAGAGCUUGCUCGAAGACGGUGAGAGUGGCGCACGGGUGCGUAACGCGUGAGCAACCCACCUCUAUCAGGGGGAUAGCCUCUCGAAAGAGAGAUGAACACCGCAGAACAUAUGUGACCGGCAUCGGUUGGAUAUUAAAUAUUUAUAGGAGAGAGAUGGGCUCGCGUGACAUUAGCAAGUUGGUAGGGUAACGGCUUACCAAGGCGACGAUGUCUAGGUGCUCUGAGAGGAGAAUCCCCCACACUGGUACUGGGACACGGACCAGACUCCUACGGGAGGCAGCAGUAAGGAAUAUUGGUCAAUGGGCGGAAGCCUGAACCAGCCAUGCCGCGUGCAGGAUGACUGCCCUAUGGGUUGUAAACUGCUUUUGUCCAGGAAUAAACCUAGAUACGUGUAUCUAGCUGAAUGUACUGGAAGAAUAAGGAUCGGCUAACUCCGUGCCAGCAGCCGCAGUAA
rnacentral:rRNA from 1 species